rnacentral:misc_RNA from 1 species
UGCCUUCGGCAGCAGUCUUAUCACUUUACUACCAAUACAGCUCUUCAUGUGGAGCCCAGCAACGUUGUCCUCUCUCUGUGUUUCGCGCGACCCUCUGCCUCUCCUCCUCUACUCACCGCCGUUUGAUUCAGGUCGCUCGCGCGAAGCGAGCGCGCAAGCUCUGCAGGGAUCUCCUCUGCAAGCGACGCCGCCGCGUUUUUGUGCCUGCGCGGUGUGGCCCUUGUGCUGUCGCUCCCCUGCUUGGAGCGUGCAGGCGCGCUCAGCUCGCCCUCCCGUUUUCCUCUCCCCCUUCAGAGCUCAGCCACUUGCACGGAGGCGUCUGUGCGUGUCCGUCUGUAGUGCCUCUCCCUGACGCACCUCUGUGGUGUUUUGUGCGACUGUGGCGCCUCUUCGGGUGGCGUUCCGCACUCGACCCGCCGCCCUUGGAAGCGAUGCCUCCCCCCAGCACGCUGCACCGCGGCAGCGAAUGGCUGUCACAGUGCAUGCGCGAUAUCAAAGCCGCAAAGCUGCAGCAAACCGUUCGACCGUACUCGAACGGCACGCCCGCCGGUGAAGCACUGCCGGUUCGCACCAUCGUUGCCACCUCCCGCAUCCACCGUGGUGAGCACCUUGGUACUGUGAAAUGCAACAGCAUCAUGACAGGGGAGCGCGCCUCACAGCUGCUGCGGCGAGCCUGUCGCGGAGAGCCGUCACAAACGGACGCGACCGCGGCAACUGGCCUCCAGCCGCUCGCCGCGCAGCGCUUCGAUGAUCUGGUCAGCCGCAUUUCAUCUCUUCCCUCGGCAGUCUCGGUGCCGCCACACCUGCUGCUCUCCCGCGACGCACUGCUGGUGACGGUGGCUCUGUAUCUCACACGCAGCCCGCUGAACGCUGGCGUUUUGCCUGCCGAGAGCCCACUGCGUGCGUGGGCCGAUGCACUGCCGCGCCGACCCCCACCAAUGGGUGCAUUGCUGCGCAGCAGCUUCCUCAGUCACGACAACGUCGAGCCGCUCCCUCGCCGACUGCGGCUUGGGCAGCGCACAAAAGAAGUCGCCCCUGGUGAAGAUGUGGCGGCGGCCUCGACAGAGCUCAUGGUGCAGGCGGUGGAGCAGGGUGAGUUAGAGCUCGCUGACCUGCGCCGACCGGAGAUGGAGACGGCCCUCACGCCAACGGUGCUCACGAAUUAUUUCAAGGGGCGCAUGUCGGCCCUGACGCAGCGGCAGCGCCAGUCACAGCGUGCGCGCGGCGGCGUCGCAGAAGCGGAGGAAGGCGCCCUCCACCUCUUCAUGACGUGGGAGCGGCAGCUGCAGACGCACUUUGUGGACGCCUUGCUGCCAGUGCUGCUGCUCCCGUCUUGUGGGUCGUGCGCGUCCAACUUGGAGGCAGUGCAAGACUCCGCUGCUUGGCUUGGUGAAGAGAGCGCCCUGCGUUGGGCACACUUUAUGACUCGCUCCCGUGCGGUCAACCUGAACUGGCGCCGUCCUGGGCCUCCGCAGCUGUCGAUCGUACCGUUGGUGGACAUGCUGAACCACACAAGCCGCGCGAAUGCCAACGUUGUCUACCAGCGCGAGGACAGCGGCGACGUCUGCGUCACAGCCUCGCGCACAAUCGAGGCAGGCGAGGAGCUGGUACUGCGGUACAACCACAUAGGUCAACGCGGGUGCUUGUUUGGUGACCUGCCCCGACCGUCGAAACCUACCGCCGAGCACGAGCGCGGUCGAUUGUCUGGCAAGGCGGCUGCCGUGGCUGACGAAGUGCACCGCAUUGAGAAGCGCCAGUACUGGGAGCUGUAUGCCUGCGACGAGGAUGAGGAGGCCGCGCAGCAGACGGGCCACACUCCCUCCACAAGCUUCAGAGCUAGCACCCGCUGCGGUACCUUCGACCCUGCGUCGCCAACAGCUGUCGGGCAGCAGGAGAUGGAGCAGGAGGUGCAGUGGCUGUGGCGCUUUGGUUUUCUGCGCAGCAACGAAGAGAAGAACCGCGAGGCGGCACUGCUGUGGAGUCGCAGUCUUCGCAGCCGAAUCGCGCAUCUGACGGAUGUCCGGCGCAAGGGGCGGCCUGGUGAGUUCGUAGUCGGUGUGCCAGAGGGGCUUCAGCAUCUGCGCGAGCAGCGCGAGCAACUGGAGCGAGAUCGGUACAAAAGCAAAAAGGUGUUCCCCCCGCAGCAGCUGUGAGCGUGCGAGCCCGAUGCAGUGCACGGGCGCGGGCCCGUGAUAUGAUGAUGCGCGGCGUUACACGUGCGAGCUCGUCUUCACAGAGGGGCGGUGGCUGCUCUUCUUGGCUUCGCCUGCGGGCGCCACACCCCCUCUCUCUUCACACACUCCCGCUAACAAACAAACGGAAAGACGCCAAAGGUUGAGUGCAUGCACGCGUGAGGGCCUUCCUCUCUUCCUCCAGCUCCGCGUUGAUGUAUUCUCACCCAGGGGGAUGUUUCCUGCGUAAGGGUGCACUCGACAAGCGGGUCUCUUCUGCGCUGCCCGAGCGACGGAGAGCCUUCUUGGCGAGCACAGUGACGUCUGACGGCUUUCAGGCGCGCGUUUUGAUGUCGCCCUCCUUGCGAGCGCGCUCUUGCGUCUUCCAUUCUUCUUCCCUGCCCCCAUCCCUCCUCAG